CUGGGAUGAGGGAGAGUAAAUGAUGUGAGAAUUUUCAUUUUUGUGUGAACUAUCCCUUAGUAUUUAAAAGUAUAUAUUUAAAAGGAAUAAGGAGUAUGAACUAAAAAAAUAGAUUUUGUUUUUAUUUUUAUUUUUUUAAUUUUUUUUAAACAAUACAGUUUGGCAAAUGGCAAAGCAACAACAUUUGCUUUGUUAUUAAUUGACCUCAAUUUUACUUUGCAAAGUUAAGCCAAUUUAAAAGAAAUCUAAUUUAAACCAUUUGUUAACAUAUUUAUUUUGCCAAGAGUACUUUUUUGAGUGUAGGUUUAUGCGAGGAACAUAUGCCAGGACUAAAAAACAAUGGUGUUUGGUGUUUGCGAAUGAGAUUUGAGAGCUCGUAUAGACUACUUUAAAGAUACUUUAAUGGAUUCUUUUUGAAGCUUGAUAGGCCCAGUAACCAUUCACUUACAUCGUAUGGAAAACCAGCAGCAUGAAUAUACUUCAAAAUUUCUCCUUCUGUAUUCCACUGAAGAAAGAAAGUCAUAAGGGUUUAGAAUGAUUUGAGGGUGAGUAAAUGAUGACAGUAUUGUUUUUUUUGGGGGGGGGGGGGGGACUAACCCUUUAAAAAAAAAAAAAAAAAAAAAUUUGUAAACCAGUUAUUCUGUUAUUUCAGCUAAACUAACACUGUGGUGGUAGCCGGCAGUCUCAAGCUGAGACAACCAGUCAGGUGUGUUUUUGCAGCAGGGGGGGUUAUGCUGACAUCUCAUGUGAUCUCUGUGUUAAUAGGCAGGUAGUGCUCACACACAGCAGUGGGAUUGAUUGGCUGACGAGGUGGAAAGGCAGUAUGUUCAUUCUGAUUUUAUGUAAUCAGAUUUAAACUGCCCUAUGCUAUAGUGUAAGGGAGCGUUUACACAGGAUGUGUUGUUGCAUUAAAAACAGCUAGACAGAGCUUAAUUAAACUGAGGGUGUGUUUAUAGGCGUAUUAACUACCAUACACUGUUUGCUAAUAUAAACACUCAAAACCCUUGUCCAUAUGUAAAUAUGCUUAACCCGCCCCCAGAGUUAACUGAUUGGUCCACUGUUUUUUGUUUUAUAUAUAUAUUUUGUGAAAAUGUCAACUUUUUUUUUUUUUUACUAGAUUCAACAUCUUAAAAACAGGUCGCAAAAUGCUAAAACUAUGCAAAAAAAAUCUAGCUCUAAAAAAAAACACUUGUGCAGUAUCUCCCAAUCCUGGUCCCAUAGUAACCCACCCCCCUUCCCCCCUGUUUUUAUGCUGCACUUUAAACAUUGGGAGAGUGAAGUUAUAAAGAAAUUCACAGCUAAAAUGAUUUUCCUCAUCCAUUGCAAAUGUUACUGCCAAACCACGCAACUUCCUAUUGGUAAACAAUGCAAAUUCGCAUGUCAAAGUUCACCAAACUUAAAACUCAUUUCGAAAAUCAUGUAGGGAAAUUUCUUCGCUACCAGAAGUCCAUUAUGUGAGAUUCCUGAUUGUGCGGAUAUCCAUUGAGAUGAGUGCAUUUUGCCUGCAGAAUUCCACAGUGCCAAGCAACUACUCGUGACAGAAGAACUGACCCUCAUGGAUCUAGCGGCUGUCCGAAUUCUGCUACUCAAGCAAGGGGACCGUCCAGUUGAGGAUCACGUCCGUGAGUUUUUAGAAUUGGCGAAUUUAGUGCACUAUCCAGACCGCUCUCUAGUGGUUUUCUUCCGGACCGGUAUGAAUAGUGCACUGAAGGAACUGAUGCCUCCGGCUGAUCCUCACUGGACCCUCUGUGAAUAUGUGGAGAAGGCUCUGGAACAUUGCAGUUCCCAUUACACAGUGGAUUAUGGCGGGAACCCUGGGCCAAAACCUGCAUCUUCGGCUCCUUGCUCCAAGCCUGCCAUGGCUCCUUGCUCCACGCCUGCCACAGCUCGCAACCACGGAGGUCGUUCCCCAGUCGCUGCCAGUGCUCGCGACCACGGAGGCCGCUGCCAGUGCUCGUGACCACGGAGGCCGCUGCCAGUGCUCGCGACCACGGAGGUCGUUCCCCAGUCGCUGCCAGUGCUCACGACCACGGAGGUUGUUCCCCAGUCCCUGCCAGCUUUCCUCGAGCCUCUCCUGGCUCCGCCUGCCUUCGAGCCUCUCCUGGCUCCGCCCGCUCCCCCAGAGACUCCUCCUCCAGUGGUUCCACCUGCUCCCCCAGAGACUCCUCCUCCAGCGGUCCCGCCGCCUGACCCAGUCCCUGCCCUGUGGCUGCCCCCCAGGCCUCCUGACACUGUCCCCGCUCUGUGGCCGCCCCCCAGGCCUCCUGACCCAUUCCCGGCCCUGUGGCCACCCCCCAGGCCUCCUGACCCAGUCCCGGCCCUGUGGCCGCCCCCCAGGCCUCCUGACCCAGUCCCGGCCCUGUGACCGCCCCCCAGGCCUCCUGACCCAGUCCCAGCCCUGUGACCGCCCCCCGGGCCUCCUGACCCAGUCCCGGCUCUGUGACCACCCCCCGGGCCUCCUGACCCAGUCCCGGCCCUGUGACCGCCCUCCAGGCCUCCUGACCCAGUCUCUACCCUGAGGUGGCCCCCCCAGACCUCUGGACCCAGUCCUUACCCUGGGGUCUCCUCCCUGGCCACCUGGUCAUCUUCUGGGUCCCCUUCCUUACCUAUAUCUUUCUGUCCUCCUUAGCCAUCUUUAGGGCACCAGGAGUCACCCCUUAAAGGGGGAGUUAUGUCACAGACUGUCUCCUUCAUGUUUCCUAGGACUCUUAUUUUGAAGUGUUUCCCCCGGACUACGUUACCCAGUAUGCACUGCCCUCAUCACUGCCAUCUGUUCCUUAUUGUUCUCACCUGUUUUCCAUUCCCUCAUUAGCUUUUGUUUGUAUAAAUACCCUUUAGUUUUUGCAUUCCUUGGUCAGUUCUUGUCGGUUGUUGCUUUGAGUUCCCGUUUGUUGUUUAACUGUCAACAUUUUUAUUAAAGCCUGCAAAUAGA